ACUCGAACUCGAACCGAACCGGUUCGCGAACGUUUGCAGCCCUACAAUAAUAUACUACAUACCUGAAGGGCAUACAAGGCAAUUUUAACUAAACUGCUGAAAGAUGAUACAAUCCAUAUCGCAAAACUUUUUGGUUCUCACUAUUUUAUCAAAUCAACUAGAUAAUAACUCAUAAUUGACAUAAACAUAUAAUGAAGAAAUUGACACUUCAAACCAAAGAUAACAGCUUUGUGACGACCAGUUUCAUCAAAUGAUUCAUCUCCAGAUGAAACAGUCACAUUAUACAGAAAGCUUAGUAAUUGAUAACAUCGGUAGAAUGUCUAAAAGAGAAACUGGCAUGGAUAGAGCCCUCAAGAGAACAUGAGAUCAAGACUUAAGAUAUUUUAGUUGUCUGCUCUAUGCUCAACAUAUGAACCAGAAAGUCCAGAAGUCCCAAGAACUGUGACCUGCAAUUGAAUGAACAAACAAUUUCAAAGAAUUAGACCAUUUAAUGUAGUCAUUCGAAGAAAGCAGGGACUUCGAGAAGUUAUGAAAAAAUGUCAUAAAAAAAGAAGAA
rnacentral:lncRNA from 1 species